CUGGCCUGCUCACUGACGAAGUUUUAAAGAGCCGCGGUAUUUUGACCGUGCAAAGGUAGCAUAAUCAUUAGUCUCUUAAUUAGGGGCUAGAAUGAAUGGCUUGACGAGAAAUCAUCUGUCUCUUAUUAAAUUAUAGAAUUUAACUUUUAAGUUAAAAGGCUUAAAUUUUUCUUAAAGACGAGAAGACCCUAUAGAGCUUAAUAUUUUAUUUUUAUAUAAUUUUUAGUUAAUCUUUUUAUAUUUAAAGUUAAUGUUUUGUUGGGGUGACAUGAAGAAUAAAUAAACUCUUCUUUCUAAAAUCAUUGAUUUAUGUUAAAUGUGAUCCAUAAUUUAUGAUCAUAAGAUUAAGUUACCUUAGGGAUAACAGCGUAAUUGUUUUUGAGAGCUCAUAUUGACAAAGCAGAUUGCGACCUCGAUGUUGGAUUAAGAAUAAUUUUAGGUGCAGGAGCCUAAUAAUUAGGUCUGU
rnacentral:rRNA from 1 species